AGAAUCAACGCUGGCGGCGUGCCUAACACAUGCAAGUCGAACGAGAAAGUGGAGCAAUCCAUGAGUAAAGUGGCGACCGGGUGAGUAACACGUGACUAACCUACCUUCGAGUGGGGGAUAACCUCGGGAAACCGGGGCUAAUACCGCAUAAAAUCUUUGGAUCGGAAGAACUGGAGAUCAAUGGAGCAAUUCGCUUGAAGAGGGGGUCGCGGCUGAUUAGCUAGUUGGCGGGGUAAUGGCCCACCAAGGCUUUGAUCGGUAGCCGGCCUGAGAGGGCGCACGGCCACACUGGAACUGAAACACGGUCCAGACUCCUACGGGAGGCAGCAGUGGGGAAUUUUGCGCAAUGGGGGAAACCCUGACGCAGCAACGCCGCGUGGAGGAUGAAGUCCCUUGGGACGUAAACUCCUUUCGACCGGGACGAUUAUGACGGUACCGGUGGAAGAGCCCGGCUAACUUCGCGCCAGCAGCCGC
rnacentral:rRNA from 1 species